rnacentral:rRNA from 1 species
GAUGAACGCUGGCGGCGUGCCUAAUACAUGCAAGUCGAGCGAAUGGAUUAAGAGCUUGCUCUUAUGAAGUUAGCGGCGGACGGGUGAGCAACACGUGGGUAACCUGCCCAUAAGACUGGGAUAACUCCGGGAAACCGGGGCUAAUACCGGAUAACAUUUUGAACCGCAUGGUUCGAAAUUGAAAGGCGGCUUCGGCUGUCACUUAUGGAUGGACCCGCGUCGCAUUAGCUAGUUGGUGAGGUAACGGCUCACCAAGGCAACGAUGCGUAGCCGACCUGAGAGGGUGAUCGGCCACACUGGGACUGAGACACGGCCCAGACUCCUACGGGAGGUAGCAGUAGGGAAUCUUCCGCAAUGGACGAAAGUCUGACGGAGCAACGCCGCGUGAGUGAUGAAGGCUUUCGGGUCGUAAAACUCCGUUGUUAGGGAAGAACAAGUGCUAGUUGAAUAAGCUGGCACCUUGACGGUACCUAACCAGAAAGCCACGGCUAACUACGUGCCAGCCGCCGCGGUAA